rnacentral:rRNA from 1 species
AGCAGCCGCGGUAAUUCCAGCUCCAAUAGCGUAUAUUAAAGUUGUUGCAGUUAAAAGCUCGUAGUUGAAUUUCGGGGUUAGUAGGUUGGUCAUGCCUCUGGUAUGUACUGGUCUCACUGAUUCCUCCUUCCUGAUGAGCCGUAAUGCCAUUAAUUUGGUGUUGCGGGGAAUUUGGACUGUUACUUUGAAAAAAUUAGAGUGUUUAAAGCAAGCUAACGCUUGAAUACAUUAGCAUGGAAUAAUGAAAUAGGACGUUCGAUCCUAUUUUGUUGGUUUCUAGGAUUGACGUAAUGAUUAAUAGGGAUAGUUGGGGGCAUUAGUAUUCAAUUGUCAGAGGUGAAAUUCUUGGAUUUAUUGAAGACUAACUACUGCGAAAGUAUUUGCCAAGGAUGUUUUCAUUAAUCAAGAACGAAAGUUAGGGGAUCGAAGACGAUCAGAUACCGUCGUAGUCUUAACCAUAAACUAUGCCGACUAGGGAUCGGAUGAUGUUAAUUUUUUAAUGACUCAUUCGGCGCCUUAC